GUGAGAACCCGUGCGGGCGUGUGUUUAGUCCCACAUCGGUUAUUUGCUGGGUAGAUCUUGGGUACUUAUAUAGGAUCAAAGAACUCAAAUAAAACCUUUCGGUUAGCCAUUUUGGGUGAGGUCCUGGGUUGUUACAAAUGGUAUUAGAGCGGAUCCGGCCCAUAACCUAUGUGGACUAGGGGACACUACAGCACGGAUCCAUUGGGGCUGACCACGGACUGAUCGUGGUACUUGUGAUUAGAUUUGAAUGGAUUUGUACCCUUAGCCUGACGAGGACGUCAGGGCUUGAACGGGAGGAGUAUGUGAGAACUCGUGCAGGCGUGUGUUUAGCCCCACAUCGGUUANNNNNNNNNNNNNNNNNNNNGACCACGGACUGAUCGUGGUACUUGUGAUUAGAUUUGAAUGGAUUUGUACCCUUAGCCUGACGAGGACGUCAGGGCUUGAACGGGAGGAGUAUGUGAGAACUCGUGCAGGCGUGUGUUUAGCCCCACAUCGGUUAUUUGCUGGGUAGAUCUUGGGUACUUAUACAGGAUCAAGGAACUCAAAUAAUACCUUCCGGCUAGCCAUUUUGGGUGAGGUCCUAGGUUGUUACACUAAUGCUCUAGUCGAUGCACAUGUUAAAG
rnacentral:lncRNA from 1 species